AUUUUUAUUUUGUGAGUUUUUCAUUUAUGACUUUCUUUUAAAGUAUUCUGGAGGUCCUGGUUUGCUCAGCUAAUGCUUACUCACCAGUGGGUGGGGUGUGAGACGCACACAGACUCCAGAUGUGCUCAGCCCUUGGGAAACCUUGGGGCCUUUUGAAGAAUUGUCUUUAGGGUGUCUGGAAGCAGGGCAAUGUGUAUGCGUGCAGGCUCCUUCCGUGAAAAUAGUCACUCUCACUGCAAUGGGACAGAGUGAAUGGGACCACUCUUAGGAAGGAAUUCAUUUGUAUCAUUAAAGACAACUGGAAAGAUGGCACUUGUAGAUUUUAAUAAGUUACAAUAGAUUUAGUGCCUAUUAUUAGGGAGAAGAAAAGGCCCUGUGAGGAAAUAUACCAAUGAGAGCUGAAGGCCCUGUUCUCCAAGCACAACUUUGGGAGAUUAAAAAAAAAUGAAGGUGCUGGCCCAGCCAUGAUGGGUAAAUAAAUGUUGGACCAAUGAUUUUAAAGGGCCUCUGUUUUUACAAGGAGAAUGAGAACGCAGAAACAGAAGGCCCAAAAUAGGGAUGAUGUCAUGAGAUGAGGACAGAGAGGCACCCGGUAGUUCAUAAAGAAAGCUACAAAUGCACAAAGAAGCCCCAACAUACAUGGUGCUACUUCAGGGAUAACCUAAAUGAGCUGAAGGGUAUACAAUCUCAUCAUCCACUGUAUCCAAAGCCAUGAGCUUGACAAGCGACAUGAAAAUUGCAUUUGACCGGGGAUACCAGGGAGCCACCCCAUCUGGGGCAGAUGUGCCUGGCCUGUUGAUGUCUGUGUACAGUUUGGUGGUUCUGCCUUCAGGAUUCUUCUCAUUCUGGCUGCACCCAGCAUCAGGCUCUCUAUUUGUUACUGAGGGGCCAAGCGUCAAAGAAAGCUGCAGACCCCAAGAGGGAAGCUAAAGGAAGGAAGGUUGAGCUCUCCACCUGAAGUGCUGCCACAAGCUCUCUGUCUCUGCAGGGCAACUUCCAGCAGAAAUGCUGGAGAAGUGCUGACAGUCUCAGAAGAGGAUAGAUCUGCCGGUGCAUCCUCCAUCACAAAGAAGAAAUGACUCAGUGUCACUUUAACCCUUUGCUUCACCUCUUGCUUUUCUGACCUCAAAGUCCUUUCCUGCUCCAUGACAACAGAGCCCUAAUUGUUGGGUCACAUAUUCUGGUGUAUGGUGUGUGAUAAGAACAGAAUGAAUAAAAGCACGACACACUUACUGACCGUGCUGAUGCUUUACUCUAAGGAAAGCCAUUAGGUGGGCUGGUGAGGGAAAAUUACAGGAAAGCCUGAGAUGGUGGCUCUGGACUGUCACUGUUGGAGAAAAGCAUAAGCUGUAAAUAUUUUAAAG
rnacentral:lncRNA from 1 species